rnacentral:ncRNA from 1 species
AGAAAUGCAGUGACAGGGAGGAGUACAUGGCCUGCCAAAGCCCAGAGAGAAGAUGGAUGGUGGAAAUCUUCGUGAGGGGGUCAUGGAAGUAGCCUUCGAGCAGUGGACCCAAACGGCGCCGCCGGCGCAUUAGUAGGGCUCAACGUUUUUCCCGCGUUACAGGGAAGCGGUAUCGGACAGCAGACCAGAGUCCCGUACCGGCAGAGCGCAGAGAGGAUUUCUCUGAAUUUAGGUGGUAACACGGAUGACAGAUUCGCCCUAAGC